GGAGGGGUGGCAGAGUGGUUGAAUGCACCGGUCUUGAAAACCGGCGUAGGUUAAUAGCCUACCGUGGGUUCAAAUCCCACCUCCUCCGCCA
rnacentral:tRNA from 4 species